UACAGAGGUCUCAAGCGUUGUUCGGAUUCAUUGGGCGUAAAGGGUGCGUAGGUGGCGCGCUAAGUCAGGUGUGAAAUUUCGGAGCUUAACUCCGAAACUGCAUUCGAUACUGCCGUGCUUGAGGACUGGAGAGGAGACUGGAAUUUACGGUGUAGCGGUGAAAUGCGUAGAUAUCGAGAGGAACACCUGCGGCGAAGGCGGGUUGCUGGGCUGACACUGACGCUGAUGCGCGAAAGCUAGGGGAGCGAACGGG
rnacentral:rRNA from 1 species